rnacentral:rRNA from 1 species
GAGGAAUAUUGGUCAAUGGGCGAGAGCCUGAACCAGCCAAGUAGCGUGAAGGAUGACUGCCCUAUGGGUUGUAAACUUCUUUUAUAAGGGAAUAAAGUGGAGUAUGUAUACUCCUUUGCAUGUACCUUACGAAUAAGGAUCGGCUAACUCCGUGCCAGCAGCCGCGGUAAUACGGAGGAUCCGAGCGUUAUCCGGAUUUAUUGGGUUUAAAGGGAGCGUAGGCGGAUGUUUAAGUCAGUUGUGAAAGUUUAAGGCUCAACCUUGAAAUUGCAGUUGAUACUGGAUAUCUUGAGUACAUUGAAUGUGGGCGGAAUUCGUGGUGUAGCGGUGAAAUGCUUAGAUAUCACGAAGAACUCCAAUUGCGAAGGCAGCUCGCAGUAAUGUAACUGACGCUGAUGCUCGAAAGCGUGGGGAGCGAAC